rnacentral:rRNA from 1 species
UACGGGGGAGCAAGCGUUGUUCGGAUUUACUGGCGUAAAGGGCGCGUAGGCGGUCAGCACAAGUCAGUUGUGAAAUCUCCGGGCUUAACUCGGAAAGGUCAACUGAUACUGUGCGACUAGAGUGCAGAAGGGCAACUGGAAUUCUCGGUGUAGCGGUGAAAUGCGUAGAUAUCGAGAGGAACACCUGCGGCGAAGGCGGGUUGCUGGGCUGACACUGACGCUGAUGCGCGAAAGCUAGGGGAGCGAACGGG